rnacentral:tRNA from 1 species
GCCCGCCUAGCUCAAUCGGAUAGAGCGUCAGACUCUUAUCACUGGCUAGUGCGGAUAUCUGAAGGCUGCGAGUUCGACCCUCGCGGUGGGCU